UCCUACGGGAGGCAGCAGUGGGGAAUCUUGCGCAAUGGGCGAAAGCCUGACGCAGCGACGCCGCGUGAGGGAUGACGGCCUUCGGGUUGUAAACCUCUUUCGACCCUGACGAAGCGGGAGUGACGGUAGGGGGAGAAGAAGCACCGGCCAACUACGUGCCAGCAGCCGCGGUAAGACGUAGGGUGCGAGCGUUGUCCGGAUUUAUUGGGCGUAAAGAGCUCGUAGGCGGCUCGUCGCGUCGGCUGUGAAAACCCGCAGCUUAACUGUGGGCUUGCAGCUGAUACGGGCGGGCUAGAGUUCGGUAGGGGAGACUGGAAUUCCUGGUGUAGCGGUGAAAUGCGUAGAUAUCAAGCGGAACACCGGUGGCGAAGGCGGCCUUCUGGACGAUGACUGACGCUGAGACGCGAAAGCGUGGGGAGCAAACAGGAUUAGAUACCCUGGUAGUCCACGCCGUAAACGAUGAGUGCUAGGUGUCACGGGCUUUGACCCUCGUGGUGCCGAAGCUAACGCGUUAAGCACUCCGCCUGGGGAGUACGGCCGCAAGGCUAAAACUCAAAUGAAUUG
rnacentral:rRNA from 1 species